ACUGGCACUAUGAUGAUUUCCAGUUACUUUUUGCCGUUUACCCAUCUGAGAGUUUCUUUGAAGAACAUCUUGAAACUGAGUUGCCAGU
ensembl:snoRNA